rnacentral:rRNA from 1 species
GUGUCAGCAGCCGCGGUAAUACGGAGGGUGCAAGCGUUGCUCGGAAUUAUUGGGCGUAAAGGGUAGGUAGGUGGUCUUAUUUGUCUGAGGUGAAAUCCUUGAGCUUAACUCAAGAAGUGCCUCAGAAACGGUGAGACUAGAGUCCUGGAGAGGGUCGUGGAAUUCCCGGUGUAGCGGUGAAAUGCGUAGAGAUCGGGAGGAACACCAGAGGCGAAAGCGGCGACCUGGACAGGCACUGACACUCAACUACGAAAGCGUGGGGAGCAAACAGGAUUAGAUACCCUGGUAGUCCACGCUGUAAACGAUGGGUACUAGGUUUGGUGGGUCUUGACCCCUGCCGAAUCGGCGCUAACGCACUAAGUACCCCGCCUGGGAAGUACGGUCGCAAGACUAAA